ensembl:lncRNA
GCCUCCUGGUGGUGGAAGGAGUCUCUCUAUUGGAACACCUCCCACCAACACCAGUACACACUGAACAUGCACCCUGCAUGACACUUGACGAAGGCUUUCUUUAGUGUUGACUGGCUUUACCCACAAUGCACUAAAACGGGGAUGAAGACACUGACCACAAUCUGUCCUAAACCAUCGGACAAACUGACUUAAUAUUGCGACAUCAUCGAUGACUCGUUGGUCUUGACCAAUGAGGACGUCUGCCGCUGUUGUGCAGGACGGGCGGUUUGGACCAGAUUGUCUGCUCUGCUAUCCUGGGACCUUUUGUGUAAAAUGGGCCAAUCAACAUACCGGCCCAGCGCCCCCAUCAGGGGACCCCCACAGGGGACCCCCAGAGGUACACCCACAGGGGACCCCCAGAGGUACCCCUCAGUCUGGUCACGCCCAGCGGUCGGAGCAUUGAGGCUGGUCUGACUCGUGUCACCUCAUCUGCAGCGGUCACACGUCCACAGAGGGUAACGGUUGAGUAGCGCUGCUGCUGGGCUCAAGAGCUCUGGGCCGGGGCGGUUCCACGCCCGUUGGCCCCCCCCCAGCCGGGGGCCCCCCCCAGCCGUGGGCCUGGGGGGUCCAGCUCUGAGCUCCGCUCGCCAGGUCUGGAAGGACCAAGGGAAGGAGCAGCGCUCAAGGACCAUCCUCAGCACCCUCUGGGGCCCCUCUGGACCCCUGCUCUGCUCAGAGGGCCCCUGGUUCCCCCACAGGGGGGCUGGUGUUCCUAAGGGCCCCUGGUUCCCCCCCAGGUGGGCCGGAGUUCCUAAGGGCCCCUGAGGUACCCCCCCCAGAUGGGCCGGUGUACCCCCAGAUGGGAUGGGCGUCCUGACAUAAGGGCCCCUGGUGUACCCCCAGAUGGGCUGGUGGUCAUAAGGGCCCCUGGUGUACCCCCAGAUGGGGGGGGGCGUCCUGAAAUAAGGGCCCCUCAAAGUGUGUGUGACCAAUAAAUGUUAACUCUGUUCAUCGUUGAAUUUUAAUAAGCUUUUAUUAAACAAUUUUUAAUAUUUAAACAAUGGACUUUUCUCUAUAGUUUUAUUGCCAUGGAACGAAUAGAACAUGUCAG